rnacentral:rRNA from 1 species
UACGGAGGGUGCAAGCGUUAAUCGGAAUUACUGGGCGUAAAGCGUGCGUAGGCGGUUCGUUAAGUCUGUUGUGAAAGCCCCGGGCUCAACCUGGGAAUGGCAAUGGAUACUGGCGAGCUAGAGUGCGGUAGAGGAUGGUGGAAUUCCCGGUGUAGCGGUGAAAUGCGUAGAGAUCGGGAGGAACACCCGUGGCGAAGGCGGCCAUCUGGACCAGCACUGACGCUGAGGCACGAAAGCGUGGGGAGCAAACAGG